rnacentral:rRNA from 1 species
AUCGAACGCUGGCGGCAGGCUUAACACAUGCAAGUCGAGCGAGCGGCGGACGGGUGAGCAAUGUCUUGGAAACUGCCUGCUCGAGGGGGAUAACUACUGGAAACGGUAGCUAAUACCGCAUACCAUCAGAUCUGCCCAGGUGGGAUUAGCUAGGAGUUGGGGUAAUGGCUCACUGAGGCGACGAUCCCUAGCUGGUCUGAGAGGAUGACCAGCCAAACUGGAACUGGGACACGGUCCAGACGCCUACGGGAGGCAGCAGUGGGGAAUCUUGCACAAUGGGCGCAAUCCUGAGCGAGCCAUGCCGCGUGUGUGAAGAAGGCCUUCGGGUUGUAAAGCACUUGCAGCGAGGAGGCGUUAAUCGCAGAAGAAGCAACGGCUAACUCCGUGCCAGCAGCCGCGGUAAUAC